CCCGCCCUGCCUCCAGCAGCAGAACGAAAGGGAUCUCUGGUCCCCGAGCCCUGGCUCGUCCCCUUCCGAUUCCAAUCUGGUCUCGCCGAGCCUGGCGACGAGGGAGAGAUGGGGAAGAACCAGGCGUACAAGGCAAUGCAGUGGGCGCGGCUGGGGUCCUCGUCCGACGCGCUGGGCACCGCCGACGCCCUCGAAGACGGCAUGGUCGGUCCCCUUCCUCUCCCCUAGGAGAUCUCUGUUUCCCAUCUGCACUUCCGAGUUCCAGGCUUCCAACCGCUGUGGAAUUUUGGCUACCAUCCCACUUUCGCUUUGGGUGAAAGAUAAAGAAAAAGAACUUUGGCUAAUGAGGGUCGUCGCAGGAAUUCAGCUAUUUAACCAAAAUGUCUGCAUUGAGCCUUCAUGUUUACUUGAAGCAUUUACUUUACUGUCCUUUAAGGAUGGGAUGAAACAAGGAAUUAUUAAUCCAAGUGAUAUUGAUGUUACCUUUGAGGAUUUUCCUUAUUAUGUCAGUGAGAACACAAAGAAUGUGCUCUUGUCAUGUGCAUUCAUACACUUGGAAAAGAAGGAGUUCAUCAAGCAGUUUGCUGAGAUUUCAUCAAUAAACCAACGAAUUUUGUUAUUCGGUCCAGCAGGUUCUGAGAUUUAUCAGGAAACAUUGGUAAAGGCACUUGCGAAACAUUUUGGUGCUAGACUUCUUGUCGUGGAUUCACUUUUGCUACCUUGGGGGACCAAGUUAUGGUUAUCGAGGCAGAGUGAUGCUUGCUUUUGAAGAUAAUGGAUCCUCAAAAAUUGGAGUCUGAUUUGACAAGCAGAUCCCUGAUGGUAAUGAUCUUGGUGGUUUGUGCGAGGAAGAUCAUGGCUUCUUCUGCUCUGCUGAAUCACUUCGCCCAGACUUUUCUGCUGGUGAAGAAGUUGAGAGGCUAGCUAUGACCGAGCUAAUAGAGGUCAUUUCAGAAGAGAACAAAUCUGGACCUCUGAUUGUGUUACUUAAGGAUGUAGAGAAAUCAUUCAUUGGAGUUACCGAGUCACUUUCAUCUUCACGGAGCAAAUUUGAAUCGCUUCCAUCUGGUGUUCUUAUUAUAGGAUCCCACACUCAGAUGGACAGCCGCAAAGAAAAGAGAGGAAGGAUAAGGACACAAAGAAAAGAAGUAAAAAGAGGAUAAAGGUAUACUCUAGCUUAUGACCUGCUGCCUAUUUGUGAAAUUGUUGCGAUUUAUCUAGUGGAAAUAUAUUUAGUUAUGAUAACUCUGUUCUAGGUACUUUGCUUACUUAAAAUUUGUUUGAUGCCCUCACCAAUUAGAAACAGGGACUGAUAAACAUGUCCAAACAGAGCAUGUUGUCUCAUAGAAACAAACUGCUAAAAAUGGAGGCCAGGUGACAUCUAGCUAUGAACGAUUGGCAUCAAAGUCCACUGACCCUCUCUCUUAUAUAUAUAUAUAUAUAUAUAUAUAUAUAUAUAUAUAUAUAUAUAUAUAUAUAUAUAUAUUGUGAAAGAGCUGAGCAUUUGUCGGAAUUUGAAAGGGGAGCUUUUGGAGUAUUUUUCUUGAAUAUAGACCAAUUUAGAACUGGUGGAUUUAUUUUCAUUAAAAAGCAAACAUACACCUAGAUUCGCUUCAACUGAGGCCCAGACAUUCAACGUUUACUUAAAAUUUUGUAUUUAUGGGAUGUGUUUUCCUCUCCUCGUAAGGAAUGCUAGAUAGAUUUUUUUGCUUGCAAACAUUUGUAGGCAAGGUUUUUCACCAUAUAGAGUAAAUAGCUAAGCUUUGGAAAUUUAUUAUUGACUUUGCUUAAAGGUUUUAUUUUGGAGGUAACUUCUGGUUACUAAUAUCUCAGACUUACAAUUUGGAAAAUAUCAGUCAGUUAGGAAUUCCGCAUUUACUGUUAACCAUGAAGAACAUGAGGUGUAAAAGGUAUUUGGAGAAGAAACAAGCUGGCAUGGAAAAAGGAAUCAAGAUUUGAUCACAACCAAAUCCUUCUCUGUUAGAAUUCUAGAAAAUGUGUCCUUGUAUUAUUUCAGUUUCAUACGUAUUCAUGAUUUAACAAUGCACACUAGGAUAAUGACGCUCAGUAUCAAAGGCAUGGAAUUUGUUCUUUAACUCAAAAGGAACAACUGCUCUACAUGGUUUUCUUAUUUCUUUUGUUUUCUGCUAUAAAGUUUUUUUAGAUGUCCAUUUUGGAAUUGUAAAGAUCUUUUUUAUGGUUCAUGUGAAUAUUUUAUCAGUCUAAUCAUUUUUCCCUGGGAGAAGAUGUACGAUUUUCUUAAUAUUCAGCUAGAAAGUGAUUUAAAUCUAAAAAGAAGUAAGAGCUCUCUGCUUUCCUCUUCUAUCAACCUAUUUUUUCUAUUUCCUGUAACUGAUUGCACAAGCUGUUGUGGGAGCAAAAUCAAACGAAUUUCAACAGCUCUUUGCUUCACUCACAGUGCAAGUCAGGGCAUAGCUCCUGCAAACUAUUCUAUCUUUUUAUCAAAACAAUCUAUUGUGUCCAGCACCAUUUUUCUUAUAUACAUCUUGUGUUUAGUAACUUGUAUUCUGCAAUUCUAAAAAGAAGAUUCAGGUCCCAUUUUCCAUAGUGGAUCCGUUUCCACUGUAGCUAUUGUUUUUGUUUGUUCUCUGGCAAAAAAACUUAGCAAAUGCUUAUAGGAAUAAUGAGUUAUCUUGGAAGAUGAUUACUUAGAUAGGUGCAUGUUUAUUUCAGAGCUUAUUUCAACCAUUUAACUAUGUGUCCAACCAUUUUGGGAUGGUAACUUCUUUAUUGAACCAGUUUUUGUCAUUAAAUUUACUCUACUUCAGAAAACCUAACCUGGAAAAAACUGCAGAGACUGAACAAGGGGUGGCGCAGGUUAUUCUUCGUGGAAAUAUCGAUUUUAAGCGGGAACCCUGGCCUAAUAUUUCGGAAAAUGCAAAAGAUUUAGUUCGACACAUGUUGGAGCCUGAUCCAAAGCUCAGGCUAACUGCAAAGCAGGUUCUUGAACAUCAUUGGCUUCAAAAUGCGAAGGCUCCUAAUGUCCCUCUUGGAGAUAUUAUAAAGUCAAGGCUCAAACAAUUUUCUAGGAUGAAUAGAUAAGAUUAGGUGUAUGUGUUUAAAUAGGUCAUUGCUGAUCAUUUGUCUGCUGAGGAAGUUGAGGAUAUAAAGGAUAUGUUCAAGACUAUGGAUACUAACAAUGAUGGAAUUGUAUCUUAUGAAGAACUGAAGACUGGAAUAGCAGAACUCCGAGAACAGCUUCUAGGCUGAAUCAAGGAGGAGCUCUGCCAAGUAGGUUUUUUUACAGAGACCUUAACUUUUGUUGAUUCCAUGAACAGCUUCUAGGUGUGAAUUUGUGAUAUGAACAUAUAUCAAUGUGUUUGAAAUCUGUAUUGUAUGUGAUAUUCUGUGUUGCAUGUGA